GAGUGGCCGCGCGGAAGGAGCUGGAGACGGGCGUAGCUGCGGUCGCGCCGAGAAAGAAGGAUGGUAUUGGAGGGCUGAGCACACGUAUGCUGAACAUAUGGCUGCUUGAACUUUGGCCUGUCGCUGUG
rnacentral:sRNA from 1 species